AGAAGCACUGAAUAAGAAGUCUGCUCUUUGUGCUGGGGUCGCCGGGUUGGGUGCAAGCCAGGAUCUAUGGGCAUCAAGAGGAUGGCUGGCUGAAGAGUUGGAAAGCAAGGAAGCAAGUCCUGGUGACACUGUUUGGUGUCCUGGAUCUGGCUGUACCUGCAACCCUGAACUUUACAGUCACCUGAGCCAACAGAUUUCCUACUUUGCUUAAGCCUGUUUGAGAUGAGGAAACUCAGGAGCCCGAGGGAAUUGCACAAAGUCACCCGACUAAAUGACAGAAAUGCCUCUGCAAAGGUUUUCAGGAUUUAUGACACACAGGACAGAGGUGGAUCGAUAUUUUAUUUAUCUGUUGGUUUGUUGGUUUGUUUAUUUAUUUGUCUAUUGGCUAAUACCUGGUCUUUGGGCUUUUUUAAAUUAUUAUUUUAAUUACAUAAAGAGCUUACA